CAUUUAUCACACCGGCUGCCAUUUGAUUCACUUUGAACGAGGAUAUCUAACUUUUUUUUUCCUCUCACACGUGGUCAGAGAAUAGAAUCCCACCCCCAUCACCAGCUGUAUUGUUAUUUAAGAUAUGUUUUGGAACAAUCCUCGUCUUGUCCUUAAAAAAACAAAAAACAUUACAAUAAAAACAAUAUCACAGUAAACAUACAUAUAUAUAUAUAACUAUUUGAAAGGUUACAAGCGCAAGGAGCACAACAUUUAAUACGUAUUUUUUGUUUUGUUUUGUUUACUUAAUUAUAACAGUCAAAAUCACAUUGUUUCUGAACGUUCAAAUCGAGCAGGUUUAGUUGUGUUUUUUUGCAGGUACUUUCUAUAUUCUGCUGUGAAAAAUAGCUUGUAAUAUUUUAUAACUUCUGUUGUUUUGUACGCGAUAUCUUCAUUACUAUACAAGCAUUACACCAGAGGUCGCUUUGUAACAACAAUAACUGUGAACUCUACACCAGAGGUCGCUUUGUAACUACAAUAACUGUGAACUCUACACCAGAGGUCGCUUUGUAACUACAAUAACUGUGAACUCUACACCAGAGGUCGCUUUGUAACUACAAUAACUAUGUGAAAGAGCUAAGUAAUUUCGUGUUUGCUUCUACUGUAAAAAAAAAGUAACUUAAAAACUGUCUCAGGGAUGUCUAUUGUAAGGAAUUUGGACAUUUCACGAGCUUGUUAACGGUUGCCAAAGAGGUGAUAUGUUUUAAAGUGAGGUGAAAACGAACUACCAGUUCUUGUAUCACCUCAGGAUCAAACUAAAUCAAAAUAACCCACGCUUAAUUGAUAUAUUUCAUCUAUCGCGUUAGUUAGGCCUAUUAGUUACCUCAAAGUGGAUGAACUUAACAUCAAUUUUUUGUAACAAUGGAGUUCGCAUUAAUGUCUUGGAAGACUGGAGAGUAUGUGAAAAUAUAACAAUAUUUUUUGUUUAAAUGGGGAAGCACCGAAACCAAUUCAGGCAAUCAAACUCAGGUAUUGUUUAAUAUUUUAUUGUUCCUUAUAAAUAUAAUGUUUUUUUUUUUGUGUGUUAGAGUGAUAUUUAUGUUUCGCGCUAGCAGUAUUUGUGGUUGUCCAAUGAUGGCUGGGUGUGUUAACACAUUCCACGAUUAAUAAUGGAAAGAAAAUGGAUCCUUUAAUCACGGUUUGACUGUAUUUUUUAUCUUUCAGUAAAACGUAUGCUGUUAGAAUGAACGUGUAUAUAUUAUAUAUAUAUAUGAAAGAAGUCACGUUAUAGAAUUUUCAGUUAAAGUAUACGAUCUGUGAAUUUAUGUUUAUCUCAAGCACCUCACUGUGAAUUGUGUUUAAAGACGUCAUUAGUUUUCAAAAUAUCCAAGUCAAAAUAGACUUAAAAUACCGUAUGGCUACGAUGGUAAAAAAUAAUAGCAAAGUCAUUUCGCUGAAGCUCCUUCAACGUUCCUUGCUUUAUGUGUGUUGAAAUGACUACGUGACUCCAAAUUUUUCAAGUUUUAGUGUUACACCACGACAUCUAGUCCCGAACUGUUGUCAUGAUGAGCAGAUAUAAGAACUGUAGGAUACAGUUAACACUAUCACUUGAAACCCUCCUAUCACGACGUGACCCGAACAUAUUGUUUAUCAAACAUUCGGGGGGUAACAAGUAAUUGGAGGGGAACCGGAAUUUGGAUCAAGAGUUGGGAAACGGACUCAGAUGCUCAAAUUCAAAACACACACGUAUAUAUAUAUAUAUAUACAUACAUAGAUAAAUAGACACGUCCAAUGAUCUUUCGUGAUACUGAGUCAUUUAUGAGUUCUUCUUCCCAUUUUUAGUGUAAGUUAUUAAUUAAACAAAGACAAGUGUAAACGUUUACUUUUUUUUUGUUAAUGUUCAAGAAACCUGUAUCGUAAUCUACACAUUGUUUACAGGGUAAAAACCCGCUAUGAAAAUUAGGGGGUACGCUUUAAAUAAGAAACUUCAUCGGAAUGAUAGUUAUCCUGAGUUGUCAUAGUGACAGUUGUCAUAGUGACUCGUGCUCAACAAUCUUUACAGAUAGUUAUCCUGAGUUGUCAUAGUGACUCGUGCUCAACCAUCUUUACAGAUAGUUAUCCUGAGUUGUCAUAGUGACUCUUGUCAUAGUGACUCGUGCUCAACCAUCUUUACAGAUAGUUAUCCUGAGUUGUCAUAGUGACAGUUGUCAUAGUGACUCGUGCUCAGCCAUCUUUACAGAUAAUCUUCAGCAGUUAUCGUGGGUAGACUCGUGAUUGAAUUAUAUUCGACUCCGACCUAGUGGUUAGAAAUAAACCCCCCGAGUUGUUUUAACUUUAAAAGAUUACAUCUAACUACAGAAGGACCUGUACAAGUGCCUUCUUAAGUAUUUUUAAUAAACAGUCUUUUAUACGGUUUUAUACUUUCCCACGAUUACAUUUCGCCAGACACUUCUAGCCACUAAGUCGGAGGCUCUAAACCUAAUUAUUUUGGAAUUGGUUUUUUCUUGCGCAUUGACUAUUGAGCCAAAGUGGAAUAUAGGUGGAUUCUUGUUUUUGUCGCCUGAUUUAUUGACCUUACUUUCUCAUCCUGUGUCACGAAUCUGUAUUUUUGACCUUUGAGGAUAUUUUUUGGAGUGUUUUCUGUGUGUUCGUAGAAAGGUUUAGAAGAGUGAAAAGUGUGUAAAACCUUUAGUUACUCUCGUUAUAAACAACAAAACAUAUAUAUAUUUUACACGAUCUUCUCGUGGUUGACGUUUUUCGUGUCGUGUUAUUUUUGUAUAACUUGUGUCUGUAACACGUUUUCACACUUCACGAGGCCCGUGUUUUAAACGCUGUAAAGACUUGCUUCAUUUAGAACGACGACAUCAAGUUUUGUACCAUUGCCAGCAGACAAUAAAAAUCACAAAUAAAUCAUUAAUUACGAUCAAAACGUUAAAAAAUCUUCGUGCUCCAAAUGUCACAGCGUUACCAUUUGUCGAAUGAGAAAUUUACGUUUAAUAUAUUCGUGUCUUCCUCCAGUUUAUCGAAUUAGACAACAACUGUAAAAAAAAAUAUAUAUAUAUAUAUUUUAAUUUUCGUUUACUUCUCAGUUUUUCACAGUUUAAGGGCAAGGAAAAUCUGGUUAAUUCUGAUUUUAUUCUAACGCAAAAGUAGGUUUAAUUCUUCUUAAUUACCAGGAUAUAUUGUAAAGGAGCUGUUGUUACUAGCACUGAAAAUGUUAAUACUUUCUCAAUUAUCUAAUGGAAAAAUAAACUGUAUGGUUAGUGGCAAUCAACUAAGAAAAUCCUAUAGUAAAGGCAAACAGUUCAAUUAAGAAAUUUUAAAGCUAAAUAUCAAAUUCAUAGAGCAAGGGGCAAGGUUGUUCUGAAGGAGGAGAAGGCGUAGAAAUUUGAUAUAAAAAUUGCGAUUAAAUGUUCUUGCCUAAUUCUAAAUCAACAUUUAAAAACAAAUGAGGUAUUAAUACCUGUCAUUAGUAGCUGUGAAAUAAGGUAUUAAUACCUGUCAUUAGUAGCUGUGAAAUAAGGUAUUAAUACCUGUCAUUAGUAGCUGUGAAAUAAGGUAUUAAUACCUGUCAUUAGUAGCUGUGAAUUAAUCGUAGUUUCUGUUAAACACGACUGAAGUAAAGCUAUUUCCUGACUAACAGGUUCAAAAAGGAGUUACGAACGGGAAAAUGAAUAUUUCUUGCAACCCUUGUCUCCAACAGAAAAGAAUAAGACACAUUUGGAUAAUCAAUGUAGUUAGGAACAAAGAGCUUAAUAAUUUAAACGGAGACUUUAAUUUUAUGUUAAAAGUAAAAUCAGUUUUCUGGCGUCAUUGAUUAAUAAUUCGGUAUCAAGUUACGUACUGUUACAAUUACGUUCAUCUAGCCUAACAACAGUAACUAAUACCUUAUUACCGUUAACUAUAAACAUUUGUCCUAGUAUUGUAAUUUAGAAUUAGUGUGUAAUUACCUUUUUUCCUUAGAUUAUGUGAUAAACUGAGUAGCUGUUAUAUUCUUUUUUUCAAAGGAAAUCAUAUUGUUUACAGAUAUUAUAGGGUUAACGAGGCUCUGUGUAGUAAGUAGUUUGGAACUCAACUGAACUUGUUUGCUGCUAUUUACUUGAAAAGAUUAUUUUAAUAUUGGAGCUCAAAUAAAAUUAGAACAUUUUUAAUACAUAAAACUGCAUAAUAAUAAUAAUUGAUAUUCAUAGUAAAUAAUGCAAUAAAUAAUAAAACAAAUCAUAGAAAAUUAGUUUAAACAUCGUAUCUACACCCCUGUAGUAGGAAAGUUUACUUUCCGAAGUUACUCAGGUUAUUGAGUUUUGUGAUUCGUCUAUUUAUCGAUCCCACGUGCUUUCCGAGUAUACUAUACCCUUGUGGGGAUCGCUUGAAAUACACGAUUAGGUUUUCUUUAUCUUGUACGUACGUAUGUUAAUAUAGAAGAACGUGUAACUUUCUGUGAGUAUUAGAAUUAUAGUGUAGUUCGACGUAAGGUAAGGUUGGUAGAAGGUAUACUAUUUCCAAAA
rnacentral:lncRNA from 1 species